GGGGAGUAGAGCACGGGAUUCCCCUAGUAACGGCGAGUGAAGCGGGAACAGCUCAAAUUUGAAAUCUGGCCCUUGGGUCCGAGUUGUAAUUUGCAGAGGAUGCUUUUGGUGCGGUGCCUUCCGAGUUCCCUGGAACGGGACGCCUUAGAGGGUGAGAGCCCCGUACGGUUGGCCACCAAGCCUGUGUAAAGCUCCUUCGACGAGUCGAGUAGUUUGGGAAUGCUGCUCAAAAUGGGAGGUAUAUUUCUUCUAAAGCUAAAUACUGGCCAGAGACCGAUAGCGCACAAGUAGAGUGAUCGAAAGAUGAAAAGCACUUUGAAAAGAGGGUUAAAUAGCACGUGAAAUUGUUGAAAGGGAAGGAUUUAUGACCAGACUUUUUCUGGGGGGAUCAUCCGGUGUUCUCACCGGUGCACUUCCCCCAGUUGAGGCCAGCAUCGGUUUCUGCCGGGGGAUAAAAGCUUCGGGAAUGUGGCUCCUUCGGGAGUGUUAUAGCCCGUUGCAUAAUACCCUGGCGGGGACCGAGGUUCGCGCAUUGCAAGGAUGCUGGCGUAAUGGUUAUUAAUCACCCGUCUUGAAAACCCGGGGACCAAAAAAAAACC
rnacentral:rRNA from 1 species